rnacentral:rRNA from 1 species
GUAGGUGGCAAGCGUUGUCCGGAAUUAUUGGGCGUAAAGCGCGCGCGGGCGGUUCUUUAAGUCUGAUGUGAAAGCCCACGGGCUCAACCGUGGAGGGUCAUUGGAAACUGGAGAACUUGAGUACAGAAGAGGAAAGCGGAAUUCCACGUGUAGCGGUGAAAUGCGUAGAGAUGUGGAGGAACACCAGUGGCGAAGGCGGCUUUCUGGUCUGUAACUGACGCUGAGGCGCGAAAGCGUGGGGAGCAAACAGGAUUAGAUACCCUGGUAGUCCACGCCGUAAACGAUGAGUGCUAAGUGUUAGGGGGUUUCCGCCCCUUAGUGCUGCAGCUAACGCAUUAAGCACUCCGCCUGGGGAGUACGGCCGCAAGGCUG